UAUCUCUCCGUACGGGGAAGGAUGAGAAGCUUCGACUAAGGUUCGAUUCGAGCGAAAGCGAGAAAG
rnacentral:sRNA from 2 species